CCUUGGUCCGAGGGGUGUUCCUGAAAGGGAACUGAGAUAGCAGACGCUGAACCCUUAGAACCUGAUCCGGGUCAUGCCGGCGAAGGGACGGAAGCCUUUAGCCUA
rnacentral:ncRNA from 2 species